GAUAGGCUGAUAGACGUUUCCAAUCGCCUCGUUACCUCCUGAAAUACGAUAAUGAUAACCAAUUUAUCCACUAUCAAAUCGAGAAACCUUAAUAUCUAAUAAUAGAACUUAAUUUAAAUGCUCUUGGUACUUAAAUAAAUUCUCAAAUUUUCCUUUAUUAAUUGGAGCUAAUCACACCUUAUAAUCCCUUGGUUAAUCACUAAUUUAUCAACAUAACCAUCAUUUCAAAUUUAAAACUAAUUUUACUCUCCAAUCUAAUGAAACUAGUAACCACAAUUCCACCCACAUAAUAUACAUUUGUUCCAUAAAAU
rnacentral:lncRNA from 1 species